UACGAAGGGUGCAAGCGUUACUCGGAAUUACUGGGCGUAAAGCGUGCGUAGGUGGUUUUUUAAGUCCGUUGUGAAGGCCCUGGGCUCAACCUGGGAAUGGCAGUGGAUACUGGAAAGCUAGAGUGCGGUAGAGGGUAGUGGAAUUCCCGGUGUAGCAGUGAAAUGCGUAGAGAUCGGGAGGAACACCAGUGGCGAAGGCGGCUACCUGGACCAGCACUGACACUGAGGCACGAAAGCGUGGGGAGCAAACAGG
rnacentral:rRNA from 1 species